AUUGAACGCUGGCGGCAGGCCUAACACAUGCAAGUCGAGCGGAGCGGCGGACGGGUGAGGAAUGCCUAGGAAUCGGCAUGGUAGUGGGGGAUAACGUCCGGAAACGGGCGCUAAUACCGCAUACUAUCAGAAGAGGCUAGGUCGGAUGAGCUAGUUGGUGGGGUAAAGGCCUACCAAGGCGACGAUCCGUAACUGGUCCGAGAGGAUGAUUAGUCACACUGUAACUUAGACACGGUCCAGACUCCUACGGGAGGCAGCAGUGGGGAAUAUUGGACAAUGGGCGGAAGCCGGAUCCAGCCAUGCCGCGUGUGUGAAGAAGGUCUUCGGAUUGUAAAGCACUUUCAGUUGGGAGGCGUUACCAGCAGAAUAAGCACCGGCUAACUUCGUGCCAGCAGCCGCGGUAAUUC
rnacentral:rRNA from 1 species